UGUAUAUGUGGACAUUUCUAGAGCUU
rnacentral:piRNA from 1 species